rnacentral:rRNA from 1 species
CAAUAGCGUAUACUAACGUUGUUGCAGUUAAAAAGCUCGUAGUUGGAUUUCUGACGGUGGUUGGAUUGGUGCGACCGCGUGUUGCAUCAACCAUACUAUUGUCAACACAUGCGAUGAGUUGGUGUGGUCAAUUUAGUUUGAUCCGCCAUUUAAUCGCUCGUUUACUUUGAGAAAAUUAGAGUGUUCAAAGCAGGCAUCUUGCCUUGAAUAUGUUAGCAUGGAAUAAUAAGAUAGGACCUCGGUUCUUUCUUGUUGGUUCGAAGAACUGAAGUAAUGAUUAACAGGGACGGUCGGGGGCAUUUGUAUUUAACUGUCAGAGGUGAAAUUCUUAGAUUUGUUAAAGACGAACUACUGCGAAAGCAUUUGCCAAGGACGUUCCCAUUAA